rnacentral:rRNA from 1 species
AUUGAACGCUGGCGGCAGGCCUAACACAUGCAAGUCGAACGGUAACAGGAAGAAGCUUGCUUCUUUGCUGACGAGUGGCGGACGGGUGAGUAAUGUCUGGGAAACUGCCUGAUGGAGGGGGAUAACUACUGGAAACGGUAGCUAAUACCGCAUAACGUCGCAAGACCAAAGAGGGGGACCUUCGGGCCUCUUGCCAUCGGAUGUGACCAGAUGGGAUUAGCUAGUAGGUGGGGUAACGGCUCACCUAGGCGACGAUCCCUAGCUGGUCUGAGAGGAUGACCAGCCACACUGGAACUGAGACACGGUCCAGACUCCUACGGGAGGCAGCAGUGGGGAAUAUUGCACAAUGGGCGCAAGCCUGAUGCAGCCAUGCCGCGUGUAUGAAGAAGGCCUUCGGGUUGUAAAGUACUUUCAGCGGGGAGGAAGGGAGUAAAGUUAAUACCUUUGCUCAUUGACGUUACCCGCAGAAGAAGCACCGGCUAACUCCGUG